UGGGGAAUCUUCCGCAAUGGACGAAAGUCUGACGGAGCAACGCCGCGUGAGUGAUGACGGCCUUCGGGUUGUAAAGCUCUGUUAAUCGGGACGAAUGGUUCUUGUGCGAAUAGUGCGAGGAUUUGACGGUACCGGAAUAGAAAGCCACGGCUAACUACGUGCCAGCAGCCGCGGUAAUACGUAGGUGGCAAGCGUUGUCCGGAAUUAUUGGGCGUAAAGCGCGCGCAGGCGGAUUGGUCAGUCUGUCUUAAAAGUUCGGGGCUUAACCCCGUGAUGGGAUGGAAACUGCCAAUCUAGAGUAUCGGAGAGGAAAGCGGAAUUCCUAGUGUAGCGGUGAAAUGCGUAGAUAUUAGGAGGAACACCAGUGGCGAAAGCGGCUUUCUGGACGAAAACUGACGCUGAGGCGCGAAAGCCAGGGGAGCGAACGGGAUUAGAUACCCCGGUAGUCCUGGCCGUAAACGAUGGGUACUAGGUGUAGGAGGUAUCGACCCCUUCUGUGCCGGAGUUAACGCAAUAAGUACCCCGCCUGGGGAGUACGGCCGCAAGGUUG
rnacentral:rRNA from 1 species